UUAUAUAUACCUCUAAUUUUUAACAUUUCUGUGCAAUUGGGUUUGUACAUUAUGCUGUAGUGCUUUUCUCUGCAUAUUUGUGAUGUACCUUUUCGUAUGUGGGUUGUACCCUUUUCUUUACAUACCACGUGUACUCAGCUCAUGGUUUUAGGGAAAACCAUCAAUCAGACCCUUGCUCCUGAUCAGAUAGAGGGAGGGCGAUAGAAAGAUUAUAGAAAGAGAGAGGGAAUCGAUUCCAUAGUGGUUUGAUGGCGGUUGAUUGAGCCGGAGCUGCGGAGACGGUGGCCGUUGAUCGCUGCGUUUGUUUAUUAGGUGAGGUGAGAUCACGUCGCAACACUGGGAGGUACACCUUUAAGGUGAUACGGUUGAAGACUCAUUAGUCAAUUUUCUCCAUUUAGGGUCCGUUCCGGCACAAUAGAUCGGAAACCACAAACCUUGUGUCAGGGGGCAAGAGAAAGAGAGAGAAAGACCUUACGGUGUACGGAAAGAAAGAAAGACAAAGACAAGCGGUGGGGUUUAGGGUUCCGGCCUUUUUCAAAAAGAGAGAACGGUGUAGCGGCUCCGGAAUAGAGAGGGAGAGAGAUAGGAGGGUGACAUUUCAGAAUCCCGAUCUGCUGUUGAAAGACGCAAGGAAGCAGGUGCCCACUUGAGUUGGUUGUUUCCUCUGUCGCUUUCAAGGCAGCGCCCACUUCCAAUUUCAUCAGCAAGCAAGCAAUUGGUCGGGAAAUUCAACCAAGACCCAAGAAAGGCUCCAGGCGACUCAUGCGGCUACAAAUGAUUCAUGAAGCUAAGCCUCAAUGAAGAUUCAAGCUUCUGAUCUGGAAUGACAACGCAAGAAGAUUUCAAAUUUCAACAUUGAAAAAUGAAAUUUGGUACACGAAUAAAAAUGUAUUGAAAUAUUGUUUGGGGAAUUUUCGGGAUUGCUUUUCAUAUCACGGUUCAACCAUGGUGUGUAGAAGGAUGUCACCUUCCUUAUCAUAAAGCUUGAUGUUUGAGGGUGAUUAUAUCAAAUGGGAAAAGAAAAGAAAUCUCAUUCAAUGGAAGUUGCUUCUGUAUAAAAGUGGAGAUUAUAUAUAGGUAUCCUUCUUUAAUAACAUAUUAAGUUAUGUAGGUAGGCUUUACAGGUUAUCCUAUUGUAUAGUUAUGUUUGACCCAUAAUAAGUUUAUCAUUUUCGAAUUGGGUCUUAGUUUUAGGUCUAUUGGUCUAUUUAUUUCGCAUUGUAUCUCAUUGUAUGGCUGCACAUAUAAAUAUACAAUUUAAGGUUAACCAAGUUAUGGUUUACUUUUCAUGAACUCAAAUAAUGGCGCUUCAUGAUAGCAUUAAUUAAUUGGUACAAAACAAUUGUAAUUGUGGGAUUAACUAUGGUUGCUGGAGAGGAUAAUGUUCUUGAACUUCCACAUGCUCAAGUUCCUAAGUUGACUAACAAGCAGAGCAGCAGCAGUUGGUCAAACCAACAAAGCAUCCAUGAAGUUAAAAAGUUCGUUUGAUGUCAUACGCUAUAACGCGCGUUGGCGGUGUUUCAACAUUCGUUGCCCGCGCCGCAACGCGCGCG
rnacentral:lncRNA from 1 species